rnacentral:snoRNA from 1 species
CUUGGACCUAGAUGUGUUUCAAGUGUGGGUGCUGUGUCCCAUGUGUGUCAGUAGGUGGCAGAGAAGGGAGAAACUGUCUAUUCUCAGUGUUCUGUGAACAUCUGAACGAUUAGUAGCCUAAUACU